rnacentral:rRNA from 1 species
UACGUAGGGUGCGAGCGUUGUCCGGAAUUAUUGGGCGUAAAGGGCUCGUAGGCGGUUUGUCACGUCGGGAGUGAAAACUCGGGGCUCAACCCCGAGCCUGCUUCCGAUACGGGCAGACUAGAGGUAUGCAGGGGAGAACGGAAUUCCUGGUGUAGCGGUGAAAUGCGCAGAUAUCAGGAGGAACACCGGUGGCGAAGGCGGUUCUCUGGGCAUGUUCUGACGCUGAGGAGCGAAAGUGUGGGGAGCGAACAGG